rnacentral:rRNA from 1 species
UACAGAGGUCUCGAGCGUUGUUCGGAUUCAUUGGGCGUAAAGGGUGCGUAGGUGGCUAGGUAAGUCGGAUGUGAAAUCUCGGGGCUCAACCCCGAAACCGCAUUCGAUACUGCCUGGCUAGAGUACUGGAGAGGAGAUUGGAAUUUACGGUGUAGCAGUGAAAUGCGUAGAUAUCGUAAGGAAGACCAGUGGCGAAGGCGGGUCUCUGGACAGUUCCUGACACUGAGACACGAAGGCCAGGGGAGCAAACGGG